AAAUUGAAGAGUUUGAUCAUGGCUCAGAUUGAACGCUGGCGGCAGGCCUAACACAUGCAAGUCGAACGGUAACAGGAAGCAGCUUGCUGCUUUGCUGACGAGUGGCGGACGGGUGAGUAAUGUCUGGGAAACUGCCUGAUGGAGGGGGAUAACUACUGGAAACGGUGGCUAAUACCGCAUAAUGUCGCAAGACCAAAGAGGGGGACCUUCGGGCCUCUUGCCAUCAG
rnacentral:rRNA from 1 species